UUUUUAUUUUAGCCAACAAUUAUUUUUAGUUUCACUAUAAAAUAUAGAGAAUAAACAUUAUUAAAUUAAGUAAUAUAUCAUAUACAUAAUAGCUAAUAGUAGCUCAAAUAAAAUUUGCAUACGAAAUUUGCAUGACUGAAUGUUUUCCCUCUUUCCUUCUUCCUUUUUUAUUCUUUUCUUCCUUUCCACAUAUUCCACAUAGUUUUUUUUUUUUUUUUUUUUUAUCAAGACCUCAUUUGGAUUGGAUGAAAUGUUCAAGAUCUCAUUUGGAUUGGCUGGAAUCUUCAAGGCACACACAAGUGUGGAGUGUUUGAGCAGCAUUGCUCAGCUCAUUCAAGAGUCCAAGACGCAAUAAUAGAAUUGUAUUCUGCAGUCUGCUAUCAUUUGCCUGUUUGGAGUCCUGAUAUACUUCAGAAGCAUAUGUGGCUUUAAAGAAGAAGGGGCGAGAAUCUGCAAACCUGAUUAAAAUCAACACAAGAUGGACAACAAUGCACAGGCAAAAACAGCAUCUGGAAAACUAUGGGCAAAUUUCCACUCAGGUCUAACAGCAGUACUAACUGUUGCUGUAGUUAUAAUAGUUAUAACAGGUUAUGCAAUAAUUUCAAAGGUUGUAGAAGCAAUCGUAGGAGCAGCAGCAGGAGCGGCAGCUGGAUUGGGAGUUUCACAUUUGCAGUGGAACGAAGAAGAAAGAUCAAAACCAGCAGCAACAUUAGUAAUAGCAGUAGUCGGAAGCAUUGCAGGAACUGCAGCGGCGAUGUUGCGAUCAUUGGUAGCAGCUUACUCAAUAACAGGAUCAGCAAUAGUUGGAGCACUGGCAGGAGCUGCAAUAGUGGCCCUAGCAAAAGGACUAUUACAAAGGCUCAUUGACUUUGUAAAGUUGCUAAUGGAUCAUUGGAAUGAACUGAAAAUUAUGGGUAUAGGAGCAAUCUGUCUACUAGCAGUAGGAAAGCUAAAACAAUUUGCAAACUGGCUGAGUGAUAAAAUGAAGCCACUCAUGGAUAAAAUAAAGGGGAUAGCAGACAACGUAAAAAAAGCAAUACAAGGAAUUACAGACCCAGUAAACAAUUUAUUCGCACCAUUUGGAGGAGCAGGAGCAAUCGGAGGAGCACUUGCUGCAGCAUUGGGGUCAAUGGGAUUCGCAUCAGCAUUAGGAUUGCUUGGAACAGUAGGAGCCAUGUCAAUCCUUGUUGGGGGAACAGGAAUUCUGUAUGGAUUGCAUUUGAGAGGGGAAUUGAAGACACAAGCAAAUAAGGUGGCGGAAUUAGUUAAUUCUGUGGGAGUGUUGCAGUUUUGGAUUGUGGUGUUGCUUCUCUUUUUGUUUUUAAGUCUUUUGCAGUGUUUCCGCUGUGAACGACACUGUUCAUGCUAAUCAGAAAGACAUAAAUACUAGAGCACAGGUGUCAAACUCAGUUUCUAGGGGGCCUCAGCUCUGCACAGUUUAGUUCACACCCUAAUUAAACACACCUCAUCAAACUGAUUAGGUAAAGCUUGUUUGAAAGCUACAGGUAAUAGUGUUGGAGGAGGGUUGAAACUAAACUGUGCAGGGCUGCGGUUUGAGUUUGACACCCCUGUACUAGAGGAUGCCUCAAAAAAAGAUGAACGAGGAACUUGUUUUGGUUUAUUUCUUUUAGCCAUUUAACAUUAUAGUGACUGGGUUGAGAUGUCUAUUAUUUGUUACUGUGAAAAUUUCUUUAGGCCAGUCACAAUAGCAACAUUUUAUACUUCUCUCUUAUAAAACAAAGAUCAUUUACUGGCCAGGAAUCAUCCAUAAAACCUUAUUCAUUCAAAGUUAUUUAUAUGGGAAAGAAGGUUCUUUAGAUCAUUGAUAUAUUCUUCACACUAAAAAAAAUGGUUCUUUGAAAAACUUAACUUUUAUUACAAGGUUUUGUGGGGAACCAAAAUGUUUUUUUAUAUAUGGCACAUGUCUUUUUCAGGCACAUUUAUUCAUUCAUUCAUUUUCUUGUCAGCUUAGUCCCUUUAUUAAUCCGGGGUCGCCACAGCGGAAUAAACCGCCAACUUAUACAGCAAGUUUUUACACUGUGGAUGCCCUUCCAGCUGCAACCCAUCUCUGGGAAACAUCCACAAAUACAUACACACUCAUACACUACGGACAAUUUAGUCUACCCAAUUCACCUGUACCGCAUGUCUUUGGACUGUGGGGGAAACCGGAGCACCUGGAGGAAACCCACGCGAAGGCAGGGAGAACAUGCAAACUCCACACAGAAACACCAACUGAGCUGAGGUUCGAACCAGCGACCCAGCGACCUUCUUGCUGUGAGGCGACAGCACUACCUACUGCCCCACUGCCUCGCCAAUUUUUUAAUUUUCCUAAUUUUUGAAGUGGAAGUUUUGUACCUAAGAAAUUUUAUUUAUAGGAUGUUUACAUACGUGAACCUUUACCAUAAGUUUUUAGGUAUUUGUAUUUGUAUAUCAUCUGAAAGCUGAAUAAAUAGACUUUCCAUUGGUGUAUUUUUUGUCAGGGUACAAUAAUCUUUAGCAAGAUACAACUAUUCUGAAUAUCUGAAGGUUUAAAAAAAAACAAAUCUAAAUCUAAAUUGUGAGAAAACUGCCUUUAAAGUUGUCCAAAUAAAUAUUUUUGCAGAAACUUUGCAGUGUUGAUGUGUAGCCUCUAAGAACAGCAUGAGAAAAACCUUUUAUUUAUAUUCUUAAACUGUGCCUUAAAAGGUGUGCAGACAGCUCUGCAAUUAAAAUCAUUAUUGAAUUGUCAUUGAAUUUCAGUUUAUUUAUGCCUAGUUCACAUUUCUGGAUUUUAAGCCCAUUUUGAGUCCAAUUUGCAAGUCAAAAUUCAAUUUAAUUCAAUUCAUCUUUUUUUCUAUUGCACUUUUACAAUGUAGAUUGUUUCAAAGCAGCUUAAAAUAGAAGAUUAUUGUAAAUUGAAACCGUGUCAGUUCAGUUUUCAGAGUUGAAGUUUAAUUCAGUUUAGUGUUGUUUAAAUUUCACUGCUGAAAGUCCACUGAAGAGCAAAUCCAUCAAUGCGCAGCUCAACAGGUCCUGAACCAUGCAAACUAGUGGCGACAGAGGCGAGAAACAAACAUCAACAUAAUAAUAAUAAUAAUAAUAAUAAUGAAGAAGAUGUAGAAAUUAAUUUGUGGAUGAUGGAAAAAAAAAUACAAAGUUGAACAUCUGUCAGUUGUUCCUUAAACCAGGCUCAGUUGGGCACGACCGUUUCUUCUCUGUCAAUAUUUUUAAGUCUAGACUUUUUUUCUUAGACAUGUGGUUGAUGGAAUGUGUGACUGCUCCAUAACCAGUUUGUUUUCAUCUGAUUCCUUUGGUAAUUCCUUCUGAAUAUUUGUUUUAAAGCACAUUGGUCUACGAAAGUUGUUAAUAAGUGUGAUAUAGAUAUAAAAUUGUCAAUGCCCAAUGCUUUUACAUGAUAAACCAGGAGAUUUGACGUCCAUCUCUGUUACUGUAUGUCAUCAGAGGAUUAUCCAGUCACUGAAAUGUUUCUUGUAACUUAGAGGUCCUUGAUAAGCUUAUGUUCAUGCUUUUAGAAGAUAGAUUAUAAUUACUCCUGACACCUUGAAACACAUUUGAGUGA
rnacentral:lncRNA from 1 species